GUAGGUGGCAAGCGUUGUCCGGAAUUAUUGGGGCGUAAAGCGCGCGCAGGCGGUUUCUUUUAAGUCUGAUGUGAAAGCCCACGGGCUCAACCGUGGAGGGUCAUUGGAAACUGGAGAACUUGAGUACAGAAGAGGAAAGCGGAAUUCCACGUGUAGCGGUGAAAUGCGUAGAGAUGUGGAGGAACACCAGUGGCGAAGGCGGCUUUCUGGUCUGUAACUGACGCUGAGGCGCGAAAGCGUGGGGAGCAAACAGGAUUAGAUACCCUGGUAGUCCACGCCGUAAACGAUGAGUGCUAAGUGUUAGGGGGUUUCCGCCCCUUAGUGCUGCAGCUAACGCAUUAAGCACUCCGCCUGGGGAGUACGGCCGCAAAGGCUG
rnacentral:rRNA from 1 species